AGAGUUUGAUCAUGGCUCAGGAUGAACGCUAGCUACAGGCUUAACACGAUGCAAGUCGAGGGGCAGCAUUGGAGUAGCAAUACUCAGAUGGCGACCGGCGCACGGGUGAGUAACACGUAUCCAACCUGCCGCUUACUCGGGGAUAGCCUUUCGAAAGAAAGAUUAAUACCCGAUGGUAUAAAGAGUUCGCAUGUUCUCUUUAUUAAAGAAUUUCGGUAAGCGAUGGGGAUGCGUUCCAUUAGAUAGUUGGCGGGGUAACGGCCCACCAAGUCUACGAUGGAUAGGGGGUUCUGAGAGGAAGGUCCCCCACAUUGGAACUGAGACACGGUCCAAACUCCUACGGGAGGCAGCAGUGAGGAAUAUUGGUCAAUGGACGAGAGUCUGAACCAGCCAAAAGUAGCGUGAAGGAUGACUGCCCUAUGGGUUGUAAACUUCUUUUAUAAGGGAAUAAAGUGAGGGACGUGUCCCUUUUUGUAUGUACCUUAUGAAUAAGGAUCGGCUAACUCCGUGCCAGCCGCCGC
rnacentral:rRNA from 1 species